CAGUAGCCGCGGGAAUACGUAGGGUGCGAGCGUUAAUCGGAAUUACUGGGCGUAAAGCGUGCGCAGGCGGUUUUGUAAGACAGGCGUGAAAUCCCCGGGCUCAACCUGGGAAUGGCGCUUGUGACUGCAAAGCUAGAGUGCGGCAGAGGGGGAUGGAAUUCCGCGUGUAGCAGUGAAAUGCGUAGACAUGCGGAGGAACACCGAUGGCGAAGGCAAUCCCCUGGGCCUGCACUGACGCUCAUGCACGAAAGCGUGGGGAGCAAACAGGAUUAGAUACCCGUGUAGUCCCUGUCUCUUAUAU
rnacentral:rRNA from 1 species